rnacentral:ncRNA from 1 species
AAAGAACUGUUAGGUCCAUAUUGUUAUUUAAGUUAUUUGAUAGUAUUUACAUGUUAGUAGAAGCAAAAAUAAAUGGUAAUGAUAAAUUUUUUUGGGGAUUCUCAGUAGGUAAUUUUAAGUAUAAAUAUAAGUUUUACUUAGGAAAUCAUGUUAUAAGUGGAAAAUUACGUGCCAGCAGCCGCGGUUAUACGUAAAUUUAAAGUUUAAAUUGAUUUAUAAGGUAGUAAUUAGUCUUAAUUAAAAUUAGUUAGUAAAAUUUUAUAGGUACAAUUAAAUAUUUUAUUAAUUAUUUUAUUAGUUAAUUACAUUAAAGGUUACAGGAACCAGGAUUAGAUACCCUGUUACUAACAUAUUUAAGUAAUCUUAGAAUAGUAAGUUUUUUGAAAUUUAAUGGGUUUGGCGGCUGGACAGCUUAUUAGAGGAACCUGCCCUGUAAAUGAUGAGCCACGAUAAUCUUACUUUUAUUUAGUAAAUACAGCUUGUAUAUCGCUGUUGUUAGAUGGUUUUUAUAAAAAAUUUUCUAUAAUGAUAAUUUCAUUGACUUCAAGCAAUGUAGCAGUUUAUAUAAAAGGUAGAGGUGGGUUACAAUGUGAAAUAAUAUACGGCUAUAAAAUAUGAAAAAUUUUUUAAAGGAGGAUUUAAUUGUAAAUUAUUUUAAAAUUGAUUAUUGCUCUGUCUUGUGUACAUACCGCCCGUCGCUCUCUUUAUAUUAGGGAUAAGUCGUAACAAGGUAAGUGUAACGGAAGUUGUACUUG